rnacentral:rRNA from 1 species
CAGCAGCCGCGGUAAUACCGGCGGCCCGAGUGGCGGUCACUCUUAUUGGGCUUAAAGCGUCCGUAGCCGGGUUGGUUAGUCUCCCGGGAAAUCUGGCCGCUUAACGGUCAGAAUUCCGGGAGAUACUGCCAGCCUAGGGACCGGGAGAGGCCGAGGGUAUUCCCGGAGUAGGGGUGAAAUCCUAUAAUCCCGGGAGGACCACCGGUGGCGAAGGCGCUCGGCUGGAACGGGUCCGACGGUGAGGGACGAAGGCCAGGGGAGCAAACCGGAUUAGAUACCCGGGUAGUCCUGGCUGUAAACGAUGCGGACUUUGUGUCGGACAAGCUAUGAGCUUGUCCGGUGCCGGAGGGAAACCGUUAAGUCCGCCGCCUGGGGAGUACGGCCGCAAGGCUGAAACUUAAAGGAAUUGGCGGG